CAGAUAUAUGGAGAAAUGUGACUCAAAGAAGUAAAAGGCCCAGGGUUCGCUCUGAUUGUUUAGAAAUACACAAUCGCUUUGAGGUCCUCUCCCCUAGCAUGGAAGACGAAGAGCAGACUCCAUUUGAGGCUCUCUCCCUCAUUACAGUCGAUCAGGUAUAUGAAGACAAGCAGCAAAGUCAGUCCUCAGGGAAUGUGCAGGCGACCUUGGAACGAACAGCUCACGGAAGAACCCCAACCAAACCUAAGAGGAGGCGUGUAGUGGUGAUAGGGGAUUCCCUACUGAGGGGAACAGAAGCAGUGAUCUGUGGGCCUGACAAGAUGUCUCGGGAAGUGUGCUGUCUCCCGGGGGCUAAGAUCCAAGAUGUAACUGAACGACUGCAAGGAAUCAUAAAACCCACUGACAAAUACCCCUUCCUCUUGGUUCAUGUGGGAACCAAUGACACUGCAAGCAAUAGCCUCCAGAAGAUCAAAAGAGACUACGAGGCUCUGGGCAGGAAAUUGAAGCAAUUAAAUGCACAAAUUGUCAUCUCAUCUGUCCUCCCAGUUGAACGAGGUGGCCCAGGGAGAGAGGGGAAAAUAGUGGGAGUGAACAGCUGGCUUCGCAAAUGGUGUAAACAGGAACGGUUUGGAUUCUUAGAUCACGGACUGCAGUUUCUUGAAGAUGGACUUCUGGCAAGCGAUGGGCUGCACCUCACAACGGUUGGGAGGAAUGUUUUUGCCAAAAAUCUCAGAAACCUCAUGAGGAGGGCUUUAAACUGACUAAUGUGGGGGAGGGAGACAGUGCUCCUGAAGGUAGGAGUCUAUCAAUUGAUGAAGAUGAUCAUCCAAAUGUCAUAGACCAAAUGGAGCAAACAGCACGCAGACCUAGUGGUGGGAGGAAAAAAUCCUUAAAUAAGAGACACGGGGGGAAUGAUUAAUGGACUUCAAUGUCUGUACACUAAUGCGCAAAGCAUGGGAAAUAAAGAAGAUGAGCUUGAGCUCUUGGUACAGCAAACUAAAUAUGACAUAAUAGGCAUCACUGAAACCUGGUGGGAUAAGUCCCACGAUUGGAAUGUAAUAAUGGAGGGAUACAAUCUAUUUCAGAGAAACAGACCAGACAAGAAAGGAGGAGGAGUGGCGUUAUAUGUCAGGGAUGUGUAUACCUGUGAAGAGAUUCAAGAUUUAGAACCUCAAAGCCAAAGUGAGAGCAUUUGGGUCGAAAUGAAGGGAGAGAAGAAUAACAGUGACCUCAUUGUGGGAGUUUACUAUAGAUCCCCAAGCCAAACGGAGGACAUAGAUGAUCCCUUCCUGGAACAGAUGGCCAAGCAUGCAAAAGGAAGGGAGAUAGUAGUAUGGGGGCUUCAAUUACCCGGAUAUUUGUUGGAUGUCAAACUCAGCCAAGAUUCCUCACUGGCCUUGCAGACAACUUCAUUGUCCAGAAAGUGGGAGAAGCAACAAGAGGAACAGCCAUUUUAGAUCUGGUCCUAACCAGUGUUGAUGACCUGGUUAGUGGGGUAGAAGUGGUUCAGUGAUUCAGCAGAGGAAACACAGCCCAGAAUAACUAAGGAGAUAGUACAAGAAUACUUGGCUAGUCUAGAUGUAUUCAAGUCUCCAGGGCCAGAUGAACUGCAUCCAAGAGUAUUAAAAGAACUGGCAGAUGUGAUCUCAGAACCACUGGCAGUCAUCUUUGAGAAUUCCUGGAGAAUAGGCGAAGUCCCGGCAGACUGGAGGAGGGCAAAUGUUGUCCCUAUUUUCAAAAAGGGAAAAGAGAGGACCCAAAUAAUUACCGCCCAGUCAGUCUGACAUCAAUACCAGGGAAGAUUCUGGAGCAGAUCAUUAAGCAAACAGUCUGUGAGCACCUAGAAAGGAAUGCUGUGAUCACCAAUAGUCAGCAUGGAUUUCUGAAAAAUAAGUCAUGUCAGACUAACCUGAUCUCAUUUUUGACAGAAUUACAAGCCUGGUAGAUGAAGGGAACGCAGUGGAUGUAGCCUACCUUGAUUUCAGCAAGGCAUUUGACAAGGUGCCCCAUGAUAUUCUUGUAAAGAAGCUGGUAAAAUGCGGUCUUGACUAUGCUACCACUCAGUGGAUUUGUAACUGGCUGACUGACCGAACCCAAGGGUGCUCAUCAAUGGUUCCUCUUCAUCCUGGAGAAGAGUGACUAGUGGGGUGCCACAGGGUUCUGUCUUGGGCCCGGUCUUAUUCAACAUCUUUAUCAACGACUUGGAUGAUGGACUCAAGGGCAUUCUGAUCAAAUUUGCAGAUGACACCAAACUGGGAGGGGUGGCUAACACCCCAGAGGACAGGAUCACACUUCAAAACGACCUUGACAGAUUAGAGAACUGGGCCAAAACAAACAAGAUGAAUUUUAACAGGGAGAAAUGUAAAGUAUUGCACUUGGGCAAAAAAAAUGAGAGGCACAAAUACAAGAUGGGGACACCUGGCUUGAGAGCAGUACAUGUGAAAAGGAUCUAGGAGUCUUGGUUGACCACAAACUUGACAUGAGCCAACAGUGUGACGCGGCAGCUAAAAAGCCAAUGCAAUUCUGGGCUGCAUCAAUAGGAGUAUAGCAUCUAGAUCAAGGGAAGUAAUAGUGCCACUGUAUUCUGCUCUGGUCAGACCUCACCUGGAGUACUGUGUCCAGUUCUGGGCACCACAGUUCAAGAAGGAAACUGACAAACUGGAACGUAUCCAGAGGAGGGCAACCAAAAUGGUCAAAGGCCUGGAAACGAUGCCUUAUGAGGAACGGCUAAGGGAGCUGGGCAUGUUUAGCCUGGAGAAGCGGAGGUUAAGGGGUGAUAUGAUAGCCAUGUUCCAAUAUAGAAAAGGAUGUCACAUAGAGGAGGGAGAAAGGUUGUUUUCUGCUGCUCCAGAGAAGCGGACACGGAGCAAUGGAUCCAAACUACAAGAAAGAAGAUUCCACCUAAACAUUAGGAAGAACCUCCUGACAGUAAGAGCUGUUCGACAGUGGAAUUUGCUGCCAAGGAGUGUGGUGGAGUCUCCUUCUUUGGAGGUCUUUAAGCAGAGGCUUGACAACCAUAUGUCAGGAGUGCUCUGAUGGUGUUUCCUGCUUGGCAGGGGGUUGGACUCGAUGGCCCUUGUGGUCUCUUCCAACUCUAUGAUUCUAUGAUUCUAAAAAAUUUUGUCCUCUUGGUUCCUGGGUUUUCCAGUCAGCUUUGCCAUUUCGGCAUCCGCUUAGCUUGCCAUUCUUCUCUGGUAAGGACUUUGUCUUCUUUCCAUCUCUGGGAUAGUAACAUCCGAGCGGCUGUUGUCACAUACAUAAAAAGGAUUUUCUGCUCCUUUGGGAUGUUAGUACCUAUAAUUCCUAAUAAGAAAGCUUCUGUUUUUUUAACAAAGGCAUUUUAAACUUUUUUUUUAUUUCAUUAUAUAUCAUCUCCCAGAAGGCUUUUAUUACCUUACAAGUCCACCACAUAUGAUAAAAAGUACCUUCUUUUUCUUUACAUUGCCAGCAAGUAUUUGUACUUGUCCUAUACAUUUUUGCUAACUUACUAGGAGUCAAAUACCACCAGUACAUCAUUUUCAUAUAAUUUUAUUUCAAACAUGCCAUAAAUUUCAAGUUUGUUUUCCAUAACCUUUUCCAAUAUGCCAUCUAAAUAUUAUGUCCCAAAUCCUUUGCCCAGUGUAUCAUUACUGACUUGACCUGUUCAUCUUUUGUAUGCCAUUCUAAGAGCAAACUGUACAUUUUUGACAAUAAAUUGGGAUUAUUUUCUAAUAGAUCUUUUUGAAAUCUUGCUAUCUCACAAUUAAAACCUUUCUUAUUGUCUUUUAAAAAUAUCAUUUAGUUGGUGAAACUCUAACCAAUCCAUUAAUAAAUCCCUUAUCUCCUCAUAGUCUUUUAGUUUUACUUGGUGUUCUACUUUGGUUAACAGCUCUCUAUAUGUCAGCCAAUUACUUCUCAUAUUCAGUUUUUUUCUGAGAUAUUGCUUCUAAAGGGGAGAGCCACCAAGGUGGUUUUUUUGUUCUAAUAAGUUUUUAUAUUUUUCCCAUACCAUAAAAAAUGAUUUUCUUAUUAAAUGAUUCUGAAAAUCUUUGUGUACCUUUGCUUUUUCAUACCAUAAAUAUGCAUGCCAUCCAAAUCUAUUAUCAUGUCCUUCUAAAUCUAAAAUAUCUGCAUUUUUCAAUGUUAUCCAUUCCUGGAUCCAGCAAAUUCAGGAUGCCUUAUAGUAGAAUUUUUAAUCUGGUAAGGCGAAAGCAUCUGUUAGCAAUUUAUAUUUUAUCCUUGGUUUCUUCCCCUGCCAAAUAAAUCUAGAAAUAUCUUUUUGCCAUUCCUUGAAGUGUCCUGCACUGCCGAUCACCAGUAUCGACUGAAAUAAAAAUAACAUUCUUGGCAAUACAUUCAUUUUUAUCACUGAUAUUCUUCCCCAAAAAGAUAAAUUCAUCCUACCUCAAAUCUCUCUUUGUUUCUUUCAAAGUACUUUUAAAAGACAUCUGAAGGCAGCCCUGUUUAGGGAAGUUUUUAAUGUUUAAUGCUGUAUUUUGUUUUUAAUAUUUGAUUGGGACCCUCCCAAAGUGGCUGGGGAAACCCAGCCAGAUGGGUGGGGUGUUAAUAAAUUCUUAUUCUUAUUAAAUUUAUGCAUUUUGUUGGAUAAAGAAUCCUCUCUACAGCUUUACUAGCAUCCCAGACCAUCUUUCUGCCUGUUUCUUGAUUUAAAUUUAGCUCAGAAUAAUCCCUCAGUGCUUUUUCUGCUUUUAGUAAGAUGUUCUGGUUAUCUAGAAGUUAUCUAGAAGUCCCUCAUUUAAUCUCCAUCUACACAGGGUAUUUUUCUCUCCCUUUAAUUCAAGUAUUAUUAAAUUAUGGUUCAAAAGUGUUCUUGGUUGUGUUUCUACCUUUUAGGCCUGUAUCGAUAAUUCUCUCGAGAGCCAUACUGAGUCAAUUCUUCCACUGCACUGGUGUGGUUCUGAAAAAAAAUGUGAAUUCCCUAUCCAGUGGGUGUUUAAAUCUCCAAAUACCUAUCAAACCAAAAUUCUCCACCAUUUUUAAAAAGGUUGUGGGUAGUCUCCCUUCCUUUGUUUCUGUUUUUCUUAUUGUUCUGUCCAUCUCUAGGGAGACUACCCCAUUUGUAUCUCCCAUUAAAAUUAUCUUCUGGUCCAUAUAUUCCAACAUAUUAUCUUCUAACAUUUUAAAAAAAUUCUGACUCUCUUAUUCGGUGCAUAUAUUCUAAUUAAGAUUAUUUUCUCGCUUUGUGAUGUUAUUUGUACUGCAAUCAUUCUUCUCUUCACAUCCUUAAAUAAUUGUUUUGGCUCCAGUUUGGGUUUUACAUAUGAUACCACUUUUCUUUCUCUUUUCUGAGUUACAAAUUCCAAUUCAAUUAUUUUAUUUAUCAAGACUCUUCUAUGUUUUUUUUAGCUACAUGAGUGUCUUUUAAGUAAAUUAUAUCUAAAUUCUGUUUUUGCAACACUUGUACUAUUUUAUUUCCUUUUGCCUUCCCAUUAAGGCCAUUUACAUUCCAAGUUAAUACUUUUAAAUCUACCAUUCUGAUUUGUUUUAAAAUUUUAUUAUUUCUAGUUAUCUAAUUACGAGUCUUGUUGCUUUUCUACCUCUUCUUGUCUUCGCUCCCCUUCGCCUUCUGUCAAGGGCUUCACUUCUCCUAAUUCUUUUUUAUACUUUCUCCAAAAUUUCUGUACCUCUGAUAUGUCUCUGUACCUUUGUUUCUUACCCUUCUGGGAAUUCCCAUCUAUAUGGAAUUACUUUUCAGAGCAUAUGUCAGAAAUUUGUAAUUAGUUAGUUUUUAAAGUAAUCCAAUAGGUAUCUCCUUCAGGAUGAUUGAAUUCUGUUCUCCUAUUUGUAAUCUUUUUUGAUAAUUUGUAAUCUUUUUUGAUAAUUCAUUUUUAAUAUUGUAUCCUUUAUUACACAUGAAUUAAAAAUUACUAGGCAAUCUCCUGGCAAUCAAGCAUAACUUGAUUUAACUCUGAAGCCUCUGUCUAUCAAAUUUCCCACCAAUUCUUCCUGAAUCCGUGUCCAUUCUGACAGCUCCUUAAUUAAUGUGGAAUUCAGGCAUGGCCAAACUUGGCCCUCCAGCUGUUUUGGGACUAUAAUUCCCAUCACUCCUGCCCACUGGUCCUGUUAGCUAGGGAUGAUGGGAGUUGUAGUCCCAAAACAGCUGGAGGGCCAAGUUUGGCCAUGCUUGAUUUAGAUCCUAUAUCCUCCUCUCAUUCUUCUGGAAUUCCCCAGAAGCACAUUUCCAAUACUGCUAUUGCAUCCCAAGCUGAUUCCUGCAAGGCCCUCGCUUCUGCAAACCCCUUCCUCAAUUUCUCUUGAUCUUUUAUCCAGUCUUUUCCCUCUGCCUGUGCUUUCUUUGUCUUUUCUUUUAAACUUUGUGUCUUAGUUUUAAGCUCCUGUGCUGAUAUUCCCAAAGCUGUCGUCUUAUUUGUCAAUUAUUUAAUUUGUCCUGUCAAGUCUAGUACAAAUUUUGUAUUCUGAUCCAGUUGACCCCCCCAAUGUUUUUGCAUUCUCCCUCAUUUCCUUUCUUAAAUCCAUAAUCAUCUCUGCAAUAUCAGUUUUUGGUUCUAAUUCCUGGGCGGAACCCCUUCUCCCCUGUCCUGGAGUUGCCACUGAGGCUCCUGUUGGAAUGGAGGGGGGGGGGUUGCCGCCAUAUCUAAAUAUUUAUAAUUCUAUGGUUUAUUUCUAUUAAUUAACACAAUCUUUCCCAAUUUUAUCACAAGUUUUAUCGGAUGUACUUUUUUCUGUCUGCUAGGUGUCACACUUUCUCUUUUCAACAGAGAAAACAAAAAAAAAAUCCAGAUGCAAUUACAACUUCCCAUCAACAGAUGUCCUCCUCCCCUCCCCUCCCCUCCCCUUCUAUCUCCCCCUGUUUAAAAACACUUCUUCUGUUUUGCUGACUGUCCUCAAAACAAAGUUCUGCUCACCCAAAGGGAAAGGUUAUUUAUAGUCUUUCCUGUCAUUCUCUGUAACGAAAUACACAGGGGGAAUGGAAGAAAGCCUGGAAAAUGGCUUUACUCUCUGAGCUUUUCUUACUCCAACCAAACAACACCUUAAAAGGCAAAUUCAAUCCCCCCCAACAAGAAAAGGGAAAGGGUACCCUUCACUCAGGAAUCAAAUCCAAUGUUAAACUCACAGGAUAAAAAUAAAAAUAAAAAAAUGAUAAAACCAGAGAGCCAGGAAUCCAGUGUCCAGAGGAAUAUUUCUUCAGCUUCUUAAAGCCCAAUCCAGGAGUGUUCCCAGGCUUUUGUUUUAGUUUGUUCCCCAUAGGCCCAAAUCAAUCAAGAUAAUGAUAAUGAAGAAGAAAUAUAUUUUAAAAAUUGAAUUAUAAUAGCAAAGAUGCUACGGAAAAGAGGUUUAGUCCUGGUGUCAUUAAAGACUCUCGUUGGGAAGAUGCCCCAGGAGGCCAAUAACGCUUUGCGCCUAACCAGUAUGGAGGGAAUUUUUGGUGACUGGAAGGAGAGCAGUACUUUUGGAACCGAUGGUGGUAGUAUAAAAGUUUCACUGUACUGAGAUCUAUUAGCGGAGGCCUAAUCUGAAGGAGUUGCCUUAGAUGAUCUUUGACCUCUCUCGGGUUAAUCCACCUUGGGGACCUGGGGUCACUGCUGCGUAUAGUUAGACAUAUUUUGUUUGGUUGUAAGAUCAGAGAUUGAAAGUCCAGUUGAGAUUUUAGGAGAUGAACACCAGUACCACUUUCAUGUCUAACAGGGAGGUACACCACUGUCUCUUUAAAUCCCUCGGAGGCAGAGUGAGGUUGUGCUGCAGCUCCAGCAAAUGGGCCUCAAGCUUUUGGUGGAGAUUAUUCACCUGCAUGGAGAUCCCAUUUAUGCUCUUAAAGAUGCAGUGCAGGGUCCUGGUUAUUAAUUGGAAGUGCUCGAAUCCCAAACCAUCGCCCAGGGCCAACUCGGACUCCCCCUUCGAGGUGACUCUCACUUCUUUGUCAUUAUCAUUAGCAUUUUUCGUUGCCUUCGAGUUCACCCCCUCCACUUCUAUAUCGGGUACGAGGUCAAUUAAAGGAUUAAAACGAUUGUGAGUUUCAACCGUGUAGCUAUCUUCCUUGUUAUUUCUGCUACAGUUAAGAAAGAAGGAAUCAAUCUUAGACUGUUUGGGCCUCAGGGGAGGCAUUGCCUCAUCCAGGUCCCUUGGCCGCUUGCCAUGGCCCAUAGUGGAGAUUAGGAGAGAUAUCCGCAAUAAUUGGAAUUGUCUUAAUGCACCUUAGAGAGUAUUGCGGGAGGCAGGGGAGUGGUGAGCGAAGAAAAAUAAGAUAAAGUUCGUUGCUUACUUACAAUUCUCAAUCAAUUGUCCACAAGUACAUGAAGAUACAAUCCUAAUUUGAAGUGUUCAAGGAAGUUCUGGUGAAGGCUUCUCUGCCUUCCUCCCAGGGAGCGACAAUUGUAGCCAGUAGACAAAACUGCAAGUCAGUCACAGAGGCAGGCUUCAACGGGCGUCCAUUGUUGGGGUAAAUCAGGUUGAGCAGU